AGUGAGAGCAACGGAGGCACGGAGGAGAGCCACAAUGGAUAAACUAACGGGCCACGGGAGGACCGCGCUUUGAUAUAUAAUCCGUCGAGAGAUACCAUCUCGUAUGCCAUCCACGAGAGACAAGUGAAAUAACGGUUAAGGGAUCUCACAACCUCGGAAAUAAACCACCAAUUCGACAUGGAUCGGUUUGAGCAUCGACAGCGCCUUUUAGAAACUGGCUGCCUCCACCUGCUUCGAAGGCGGAUUUUGGAUAAAGAAGCGUUUAUCGUUUUCUGUACUGUCCUCACUUCAUAGGUAAAUCAUCUGAUUUCAUUUCCUCGGUAAAAACCUAUUCUAUAGGCUAGCCAUAUGCUUCUCAUCCUAUACCGGAACCCUUACUGCUGCCUUCCACGCGGGUGCGCCGCCCUCCAUUGGAUGGCAAAAGAACCAGGAAAAAUUUCCUCGCAUUGAAAAGUGGAACCCAUACGAUACUCUGGCAGUAUGUACGAGAAGGAGUCGGUUGCUAUCUUUGGUUAUCUAGCUGUAUGAGUGUUACUCGGCCGUCAUAAAGCUAGCUAACCGAAAGUAGGAAUGUCCUCCAAACCUGCGACUCGGACAGGAAUAAAUGGUGUCUGGGAGUAAAGACACAAAAUAACAUAAUUGAUAUGCAAUUACAGGCCAAUACCUCAGUGCUUUUCCGGUAAGUUAUAACAAUUUUCCCUAAUCACUUAUUAUAAACAUCUGUUGAAACAUUUCUGAAUUCCUCAAAACCUGCUACAACCCGAAAUUAUUUUUAAUACGUUUUCUUACUUAAUUUAGAGAAGAUAUUCUCAAAAUAUAAGUAGGACCAUCUUUAUAGCAUGCCUUUAAAUGAAAAGACAACAUUUUCUACAAUCAUGCUGUGAAUUGAAGUGUAUAUUUGUCCCACUUUUGUUUAGUAUGCUUGGAGCAAGAAUACUCUUUAUAUAUUUAUUUAUUCCAUCACGCAAAGCAUCUGGAGUAUUUUUGCCUAAAACAUCUUCUAAAACGAAAAAUACUUCAGAAAAAGACUUUAUUCCGUUCAGAGGAAUACAUAACUUUAUCCAGUCAUAUGAGUGAACUGUAACAACUGGUAUUCAGGCCUGAAUAUUAAUAAAGGUUUUGUUGCAUCAAAGUAUCCACAGUUGAGGCUGUAUUCCUUAUAGUUCUCACUGCAUAAAUCAGGUUUACAUACACGCAAACACAUAUUGAAUUAAGGUUUAAUGAAAUGGAUUAAGAUUUGUAGCUCAUAUUGAUAUCAUUCUUAAAAAGGUGGAAAGGUUUCAAUUUUCCAGAAAAUGGCCGCUAUUAGCCCUUGUGACGUAUUUAGGCCUACUGUAGUCCAACACCUAUGAAAAAGGCUGUCCUGAUUAAGAUGAGCUAUGUAGGCUUUGCCUACCCCUUCCACUGAUAUUCUGAAUAAGCGUAGGCUAAUGAUAUCUUUCAAUCGAUAUUAAGUCAAGAGAUCCAUGUCAUUACAUAAACGCAUCAUUUCAGGAAUAAAAACAUGUAGUUGUGUUCUCACAUUGAGUUGUGUUACCUAGAAAGGAAGAACACUUAAGAUAUUCAUGGUUUUUGUAGAUUUUAAAUGCAUUAUACCUCCCAUGUGAGUCACACAAUACUUUUACGCAUUGUGUGCACACCUAAUCGCCCAAAUGAUUCAAGUGUCUCAAUUUGGACUUUCUGCCUGGCCCUUCACGGUGCUAUAGCCGUCCCUCAAAAGGCAACUUCUAUAGCUUCUCUUGGAGAACCAAAUCCGGGGAUGCAUUUUCAUUCAACCAACAACUCCUCUCAGAGCCUACAGUGGCUCUCAAUGGCUGGAGCGCGCUCCUGGCUAAUUGGUUUGAUUCAGUAGGAGGAGGCUAUACGCUGGAUUUGUGAAACGUCCAAGCGAGCUUUUCCCACGACCGGACAGAUCUCUCCAUUCAAGUGUGUCACCAGACAAUUUAGAAUUUCCACUGGUCAACCCAGUGACGUAGGGCCCACCAGUCGCUAUUCUGAUAAUCUCGUCCUUAACCAAAACCGCAUCCUAUUGAUGUCUAUUGUGAGCUUUACAUUACCCAAGUGUUGGCCGAUAUCUAAAUUCCUACUCAGGUAUUUUAAUACUGAGAGUAGGCUAGUUGUUGAUGAUGGAAAUGAACAACUACUAUCAACUCACUUGAUUUGAACACUUCAUAUUCUAAUCAAUCUCAAUAUAUGUUUAAAAUAUCCAUCUAUACUUAUUUAUUGUAGCUUCACCUUUCUUCACUAACUGCAUGCUGAUUGCACCUCUACUCUACUCAAAACAAAAGCCUUGUGUCCUCCAGCCUGCCUAUCUGAAUCUCCUCAUCAAUAACUGUAAUGCAGGCUCUGGUCCAAACGAUUCCCAAAAAAGAAGAAUGGAGACAUUAUCUAAAUCAAGCACAUCUAUCUCACCACUCUAUUCUUCUCUAGGCCUAAUCCAAAUAAACAUGUCCUUUGAAUGUUGUAGAAGAACCCUUGGCAUGACUAUUCUAUAACCCGACAAUGAUCAAAUUAAUUGUCGCUGAAUGUUAGUGAUGAGAAUUCAAGCGUAUUGUUUUAAUGGAUAUGUGUAGUUUUUUUUUCACUAUUGCAUUGUAUUGUAUUUGGAAAUGUCUUUGUUAUUGUCAAAGGUUGAUCCAGUGCCCUUGUCACUGCAGUGGCUGCCUGAGAUACACACAGAAACUCUGCAGUGUGAACAGCACACGCUGUCUACUAUAUGUGACUGCCAGCCAUUCACACCAGGUCUGGAUUGAGCGAGGGGAAAGUGGCACAGUUGUCACAAAAAAAGGAGAAAGCAGGAGGGGAAGAAAAAGGCCAACCCCCUUGUCCCUCUUCCCUUAAAUCUCCAUCACCGGAAGCCUUUGGUGCCAUCUGUGCCCCCGGAGAAAAGGACGGACGAGAUGCCUCCACCCUGUGCCAACGGGGACAAAGGAGCUGCCAGUUAGAGCGGCCCCUCUCGCAGGCAGCCAGAGGACUGUGUGACUGACUGGGGCUGAGCUACGGAAGCCAUCUUGAUGGAGAGUCUUGCUGCUGCUCCUAAAAUGGCUGUGUUGGCAUGAGGUCCUGCUGGUGUUGACAACCUUCAGAGGAAGCCUCUUCCAUCAGCCCUGAGCCCUGGGCCCUGGGCCCUGGGCCCUGAGCCCUGGCAGUCGGUUUAGAUGCACCAGCGGGAAUAGCAUGUCAGAUCCCAGGAUGUCACGCAAGGCCUUCCUCAUUGGCAUCCUCUCCAGUUAAACACUGAGAAAUUAGGACACUGAAGAAUCCCCCCUAAAGUUAAUGCUUGGAGAGAUUUACUGUAAGGAUAAUGUUUGGAGUUAUUUGAAGACAUUGUUUGCAGAAGUUGCACACGGAUCAUCUGCAGAUAUAUUGCACUGUUCUCUUUUCCCUGGCGGAGAGUGUAUAGUUUCAAUAUAACUUUUAACAUUACAGCAGAAUGUAAGACAAUGUGUAUGAUGUGAAAUCUAAAGGGAUGAGAUCAACAUGUGUUCAUACCUUAAUUUAAGGACGUGUGUGUGUGUGUGUGUGUGUGUGUGUGUGUGUGGGGGGGGGGGGUGGUCCCUAUUGUACUCUUUAGAGUACUCUGGAGUGUACUGGGCUUCAGAGAAGCACUACAGUGCCCUAAUGUGUGGGCUGCUUACAAGAGAAGCUCUCUGGAUGUCUAUCCUCUGUCAUGUGCAAUUAGUUACUUUAUGAAUAGAACUGACUACUCUAUGCAAAUAAAUGUGAAUGACUCACCCUCUGGCUGUAUUGCAAAUGUUGUUUAAUGUUUGACUGUCACAGUGAAAAGAAAGACAUUGUUUGGUGAAGAUUCCAUCAAUUUACUGUAUAUCCAUCAAAUGCUGCGUUUUUCCAAUUACAAAUAUUAUCUGCAUGCGUUCAUAGUGAUCAGGGAAUGUUCUACAUGAAAUGUAUUGGAUACAGUAUUGAAGCAGUCAGAUUAAUAGCCAUCUCAUUGACUGAUUGUUAUUAUUAUCCUUAUUCAGAGAGAUAGACCGUUUUGAACAUACCUGCAAUAAAGAAAGUGACACAUUCUUGUACACUGUCAUACACAACAUGUUUUUGUAAUUGAGUUCUGACUUGUCAUAACUUCUGUGCUGUUUGAAUUGAAUGUGUAUACAGAAUAAAUAAUUCAACAGAUGUCUAAAAGA